UUAGGAAAUAUAUUAUCUUACAAACUGGAAGUUCCACAAUGGGUCAAGUUUUGGGGUAGCUCAAUGAUAUCAUUAGGUAUUCAGGUUCUUCCUGUCCCUCUCUUCUGCCAUACUCCAUAUUGACUUCAUCCUUAUACCUGCAGCAAGAUGGCUUCAGCUCAACCAGAAACAACAAUGAUCAGAGAAAGAGAACAGAAUGAUUCUCUCUUAGGAGAAGAAGAAAAAGGCUGUAGCAAGGAUCUAUGCUGAAUCAUGGCAGAGACUAAUGUUGCGGCUGGAUGGUCAGGGUCUUGGAAGAAGCAAGUUUGGAGUAUUGCAAGUUUGGAGCAAGUUUGGAGCAAGGAAAUUUGAGAAAGAAGUAUGUGAAUUGAUCUAGAAUGUAUGUCUUGCAUAUGAAUAUUUAUCAAAAGGUUCUCUUUGUAGGAGAGCUGCUAAAUAGUCAGAUGGGCUUAAUGCCCAUUCAGUGGAUAUCAAUCAGACUCUCUCUACCACUCCGGUGCUUGAUGGAUGAGCUCAUAUACAAAGUGGCCUUGGGGACAGAGAUGAAAAUAUGCAUGGACUCAAUAAUAUGAAUUUCUUCUCACCAAAACAUACUACUUCUUGGAUGCCCAAUUUACCAGCAGCAGCCAUUAGCCCUGGGUCCCUGAUAUGGUAUAAUAUCCUAUGGGUACCAACGAGCCAUCUUGGGACAGUUUGAUUGGUUUGGACCCCUUUUAUUAUAGACUGGACAGUGACUUGUUUCUUAACUUGAAUAGAUUGUAACUCCAAAUUGGAUUUGUUUUCCUGUUUACCAUACCUCGGCUAGCCCUACCAUCUGUAGAUUUAUUGAAUACCUUACACAGCACUAUUGUAUCUCACACAACAUUGCUUCUAUCAAAGGAACUCACAUUACCCUGAUCUAAGUACAGCAAUGAAAUGAAGCCUGUUGGCUUCACUGGUUUUACCACA
rnacentral:lncRNA from 10 species